CACUGGAACUGAGACACGGUCCAGACUCCUACGGGAGGCAGCAGUGGGGAAUAUUGGUCAAUGGGCGAAAGCCUGAACCCAGCAAUGCCGUGUGGGUGAUGAAGCUUCUAGGAGUGUAAAACCCUUUUAUGAGGGAAGAACGAAAUGCGGUUAAAAUCUGUAUUUCUUGACGGUACCUCAUGAAUAAGCCCCGGCUAACUCCGUGCCAGCAGCCGCGGUAACACGGAGGGGGCAAGCGUUGUUCGGAAUUACUGGGCGUAAAGGGCCGUGUAGGCGGCCUAGCAGGUCAGAUGUGAAAUCCCCGGGCUCAACUCGGGAACUGCGUUUGAAACCGUUAGGCUUGAGGCUAGGAGAGGAAAGCGGAAUUCCUGGUGUAGCGGUGACAUGCGUAGAUAUCAGGAGGAACACCGGUGGCGAAAGCGGCUUUCUGGACUAGUUCUGACGCUGAGGCGCGAAAGCGUGGGGAGCGAACGGGAUUAGAUACCCCGGUAGUCCACGCUGUAAACGAUGAGCACU
rnacentral:rRNA from 1 species